rnacentral:rRNA from 1 species
AGGGCACCACCAGGGGUGGAGCCUGCGGCUUAAUUUGACUCAACACGGGGAAACUCACCCGGCCCGGACACCGGAAGGAUUGACAGAUUGAGAGCUCUUUCUUGAUUCGGUGGGUGGUGGUGCAUGGCCGUUCUUAGUUGGUGGAGUGAUUUGUCUGGUUAACUCCGAUAACGAACGAGACUCUGGCCUACUAACUAGUCGUCGGAUCGCUUCAGUCCGGCCGACUUCUUAGAGGGACAAGCAGCGCUUAGCUGCAUGAAAAAGAGCAAUAACAGGUCUGUGAUGCCCUUAGAUGUCCGGGGCUGCACGCGCGCUACACUGAAGGAAUCAGCGUGUGGGUUUGCCUGGCUCGAAAGAGCUGGGUAAUCCGGUGAAAAUCCUUCGUGAUUGGGAUCGGGACUUGCAAUUAUUUCCCUUGAACGAGGAAUCCCUAGUAAGUACGGGUCAUCAGCUCGUGCUGAUUACGUCCCUGCCCUUUGUACACACCGCCCGUCGCUGCCCGGAACUGAGCCAUUUCGA